UUUUACUGCUAGGGGUGCCCGAUGCGCGGGCUGAGAAAGAAACCGGACUGUUUUUUACCCUUCGGACCUGAUCUGGAUCAUACCAGCGUAGGAAAGUAGUAAUUGCGGGGA
rnacentral:ncRNA from 2 species